rnacentral:rRNA from 2 species
GUGCGAGACCGAUAGCGAACAAGUACCGUGAGGGAAAGAUGAAAAGAACUUUGAAAAGAGAGUUGAAGAGUACCUGAAACUGCUGAAAGGGAACCGAAUCGUAUCCAGUGUCUAUAAUCCAUGGCAUAUUUCAUUGGCGAGUGAGUGCGUGCAGCGUUUUGGAAGUGGUUUUCCGCUCCUGUCGUUGUUGUGCAUUUGCUUGCUGGUGCCCUGUGCUGUGGUGGGACGUCAGAGUCAGUUUGUGUGUCGCGGGAAAUGGUUGUUGGGGAGGUAGGUCGCUUCGGUGGCUAUUAUAUCCUGGUAACUAGUCGUCGUGGCUGAGACUGAGGUGCCUACAAUGUGCUUUCGAGUGUGCGGGUUUCUCGUGUGGCUGUUUGCUUUGAUAGCUUGCUAUGUUGGUGAAUAAGUUGUGCGAUUGAGACCUGUAUUAACUUGUUGCUGUUCGGGACUUUG